rnacentral:rRNA from 1 species
UACGUAGGGGGGCAAGCGUUGUCCGGAUUUAUUGGGCGUAAAGAGCGUGUAGGCGGCCAGUUAGGUCCGUUGUGAAAACUCGAGGCUCAACCUCGAGACGCCGAUGGAAACCAACUGGCUAGAGUCCGGAAGAGGAGAGUGGAAUUCCCGGUGUAGCGGUGAAAUGCGCAGAUAUCGGGAAGAACACCCGUGGCUAAGGCGGCUCUCUAGUACGGUACUGACGCUGAGACGCGAAAGCGUGGGGAGCGAACAGG